rnacentral:rRNA from 1 species
UGGGUGGUCCGCCGCCCGCGACGCCGCGAGAAGUCCACUGAACCUUAUCAUUUAGAGGAAGGAGAAGUCGUAACAAGGUUUCCGUAGGUGAACCUGCGGAAGGAUCAUUG